GUUUUGACUGAAGGAUGCAAGGAUAAAAAAUCUUUAGAUAACUUAAAAUAGGCUUUUAGAGCCUUUUUAUACAAUUCAUCCUGGGCUACUGUAAAGGAGCCAGAUGCACAAAAAAUGUAUACCCAAAUAUUUAUAUGUUUUAACACACUCUAGUUUUACACCAUUUAGCAUAAAAUCAUAUUUGUUAAUCAAUCUACCUGCCUUGUUGAAUAUAAGAACCUUUGUUUUGUUUGUAUUCACACUUAAGCACCAAUCAUUGCAGUAAUUUUGCAAAAUGUCCAAUUUUUUUUGCAAACCAUUCGGAGAUGUUGACAAUAAAACAAUAUCGUCAGCAUACAUAAGGCAGUGUAAAUCUUGAUCAUUUAUUGAAACUGGGUCUUCAGAGUGUUUUAAAUAGUUUGUCAAAUUAUUAAUAAAGAUCUUGAAGAGGUUUGGACUCAGAUUGUCUCCUUGUUUCACCCCCAGGUGCGUUGAAAAGGAAUUUGUUAAGUUUUCAUUUACCUUUACACAUGAUUUACUUACUUCAUACAUGCUUUUUGAUGAUGUUGUAAAAAGAAGAUCCCACCCCAAUAUCUAGUAGUUUCAAUUUGAUUCCAGUGUGAAUAACAGUAUCAAAGGCCUUUUUGAAGUCAACAAAGCAGGCAUAUAGUCUACCACCAGGGUUAUUACAAUAUUUAUCAAUAAUUGUCUUGAUUACAAACAUGUGGUCAGAGGUCCUAGCUUUUUUGUGAAGCCAAUUUGGCAGCCAUCAAUUAUUUUGUGUUCGACUAGAAAUUUGUCUAGUCGGGAAUUUAAAAUAGAAUUAAACAAUUUUCCUAUUGAACUAGUUAUGGUCAAACCACGAUAGUUAUUAGGAUCAAGAAUAUCAUUAGCCUUAUGUAAGGGUGCUAUAUAUCCUUCUGCCCAUUUUUCAGGAUAAAUGCCAUUACUCAAACAAGAGUUGAAUAUUUUUUUGAAGCAACCAACUAAAAUACUUUGGCUGCAUUUAAUCAUAUUAUUUGUAAUAUUGUCCAAACCAGGGGAUUUAUUCCACUUUAAUUUUGAGAUGGCAGUGAUAAUUUCAUUAUCAGUUAUUACAAAAUCUAAUUCAUUAAAACAUUUCGGGGAU
rnacentral:lncRNA from 1 species